rnacentral:rRNA from 1 species
GAUGAACGCUAGCUACAGGCUUAACACAUGCAAGUCGAGGGGUAACAAGAGGAAAGCUUGCUUUCCUUGUCGACGACCGGCGCACGGGUGAGUAACGCGUAUCCAACCUGCCCCCAACUAGGGAAUAACCUUGCGAAAGUAAGACUAAUACCCUAUAAUUUCCUCAGAUGCCAUCUGACGAGGAAUCAAGAUUAAUCGGUUGUGGAUGGGGAUGCGUCUGAUUAGCUUGUUGGCGGGGUAACGGCCCGCCAAGGCAACGAUCAGGAGGGGUUCUGAGAGGAAGGUCCCCCACAAUGGAACUGAGACACGGUCCAAACUCCUACGGGAGGCAGCAGUGAGGAAUAUUGGUCAAUGGGCGGAAGCCUGAACCAGCCAAGUAGCGUGCAGGAUGACGGCCCUAUGGGUUGUAAACUGCUUUUAUACAGGAAUAAAGUUAGCCACGUGUGGUUAUUUGUAGGUACUGUAUGAAUAAGCACCGGCUAACUACGUGCCAGCAGCCGCCGUAA